rnacentral:rRNA from 1 species
UACGGAGGAUCCAAGCGUUAUCCGGAUUUAUUGGGUUUAAAGGGUGCGUAGGCGGCCUGUUAAGUCAGGGUGAAAGACGGUAGCUCAACUAUCGCAGUGCCCUUGAUACUGAUGGGCUUGAAUGGACUAGAGGUAGGCGGAAUGAGACAAGUAGCGGUGAAAUGCAUAGAUAUGUCUCAGAACACCGAUUGCGAAGGCAGCUUACUAUGGUCUUAUUGACGCUGAGGCACGAAAGCGUGGGGAUCAAACAGG